rnacentral:lncRNA from 1 species
GUUCACUGUAGCCCGGGUGUUAGGAACCUGCCUGAACGAGGCCCGAGACUGAUGGGCAGAGCAAAGAGUCAUCCAUGGCUGUCAGAGGAAGAGGAAGGCCUGGCAGCACGCUACGUCUGAUUCCAAACCUCAGCCCAGCGUCUGGACACCACAAAAAUCCUGGUCCCCAGAGCCGGGCCUGGGAGGGUGCACUUUGAUCGGCGUGGAGCUGGAGACACAGUGCUCCUUCAGCUACUUUGCUAAUUCACCAGGUCGCUGAUUUUCCUGAAUUCUGGCGUCAAAACAUCCCAGGGUUCUUUUUGGAGCCCACACAGCCGAACAAAGCUGUGUCGUGGAAAACCCAGGGGGACCAAGGAGCCCGAGGCCUAACGAACAAGGGUGCAUUUUGCAAUUCCAAGGAAGCACGUAGAGGGGUGGCCAGAUUUCAGGAGGGGCAGACCCCGUGCCACCAGCCAUGCCCCCGCCCCUCCUAGCAAUCAGUUCCUUCUCAAGCUUUAGAAAUCCAAGCCUUGCAUCUGUGCUCACCGAGCGGCCUUUAGUAGACACCACUCAGAGGCCAUAGGGCUGUGCAUGGCAGGUGACAGCUGUUCCCUUGACUUUCUGGAGGAGGAAAUUAACUCUGAGGUUGUAAAACCAUGAUAGGAACUGAAACUGGCCCAUUUCUGCCUCAGCCUCCCAGCCUUCUUAUUUAGAAGCACGCGCAUAGGCACUCACCGUGGCCUCACUCACCCAGCAGAGGAUGGCUGGGUAAAGCCUUGCUCAUCUUCUGCCAGCAACAUUCGUUUGGCAUACACAGUGCUCGUCUGCAGUUUGGCUGGUGGGCAGCGUUACGUGUGAGAAAACCCACUUUUAAGCAAAUCCGGUGCUUAUCAUCCUAAGAAGUGGCAGGCAUGUGUAACAGGAGUCUCCCUCACUGGGCCAUGUGGCAAUGCUCCAUUUUGUCUUUCCUGGGCAGUCAGCAAGUUGGAGUCUCUCACAGGAAUAAAUCACAUUUGUUGCUGAGUAUCAUGCUGGGGAGUUUGCGUGGAGAACAGCCCAGCAGAGCUGCUAUACUGUCACCCUCUUUUUGGCUUUCUGUGGUUUCGGUGCCUGUACACACAUGUCCAUGGGGAGAAAAUGACAUCUGCAUGUAUCACACACUCUCCCCAGCACGGCUUCUGCUGAGGUCGGUGGCUUCAUCACCGAGGGAAGGCUGGCUCCAUGAAAGCUGUGUUGAGUUUUACAGAACUUCUGGAAAACCUAGACCACUAGCUGUCAUGCUGUAACCUGUGUACCUUUACAUCUGUUUUGACCCUAAAUUCACAAACCUAAAAUUUAAGGCAAAUAAAUCAUGAAACAUAAGCUUGCGUGAAGACA